rnacentral:rRNA from 1 species
AUUUAACGCUGGCGGCAGGCCUAACACAUGCAAGUCGAGUUAGCGGCAGAAGGGUGAGUAAUGUAUGGGGAUCUGCCCGAUGGAGGGGGAUCACUACUGGAAAAGGUUGCUAUUACCGCAUACUCUCGCAUGAACCCAUAUUGGAUUAGCUGGUAGGGGGGGUAAAGUAUCACUUAGGCGACGAUCUCUAGCUUGUCUGAGAGGAUGAGUAGCCACACUGUGACUGCGACACGGCCCAGACGCCUACGGGAGACAGCAGUGGGGAAUAUUGCACAAUGGGCGUAGUCCGGAUGCAGCCAUGCCGCGUGUAUGAUGAAGGCCUUAGGGUUGUAAAGGACUUUCAGCGGGAAGGCGGUACCCGCAGAAGAAGCACCGGCUAACUCCGUGCCAGCCGCCGCGGUAAUUC